UACGUAGGGUGCAAGCGUUAAUCGGAAUUACUGGGCGUAAAGCGUGCGCAGGCGGUUGUGCAAGACAGAUGUGAAAUCCCCGGGCUUAACCUGGGAACUGCAUUUGUGACUGCACGGCUAGUGUGUGUCAGAGGGGGGUAGAAUUCCACGUGUAGCAGUGAAAUGCGUAGAGAUGUGGAGGAAUACCGAUGGCGAAGGCAGCCCCGUGGGAUAACACUGACGCUCAUGCACGAGAGCGUGGGGAGCAAACAGG
rnacentral:rRNA from 1 species